AUUGAACGCUGGCGGCAGGCUUUACACAUGCAAGUCGAGCGAGCGGCGGACGGGUGAGUAAUGUCUCGGAAACUGCCUGAUAGAGGGGGAUAACUACUGGAAACGGUGGCUAAUACCGCAUACCAUCAGAUGUGCCCAUAUGGGAUUAGCUAGUAGGUGGGGUAAUGGCUCACCUAGGCGACGAUCCCUAGCUGGUCUGAGAGGAUGACCAGCCACACUGGAACUGAGACACGGCCCAGACUCCUACGGGAGGCAGCAGUGGGGAAUAUUGCACAAUGGGCGCAAGCCUGAUGCAGCCAUGCCGCGUGUAUGAAGAAGGCCUUCGGGUUGUAAAGUACUUUCAGCGGGGAAGCGUUACCCGCAGAAGAAGCACCGGCUAACUCCGUGCCAGCAGCCGCGGUAAUAC
rnacentral:rRNA from 1 species